GAUGAACGCUGACAGAAUGCUUAACACAUGCAAGUCUUUGGCGAAGCUGUGCUUGCACAGCCUAGCCAAGGCGGACGGGUGAGUAACGCGUAAGGAACUUGCCCUGCAGUCAGGGAUAACAGACGGAAACGACUGAUAAGACCUGGUAAAGUCAGGCGGACUCAUGUCCAGCCUGAUGAAAAGAGAUGCUGCAGGAGAGCCUUGCGUCCUAUUAGCUUGUUGGUGGGGUAACGGCCCACCAAGGCGAUGAUAGGUAGCCGGCCUGAGAGGGUGGACGGCCACAAGGGGACUGAGAUACGGCCCUUACUCCUACGGGAGGCAGCAGUGGGGAAUAUUGGACAAUGGGGGCAACCCUGAUCCAGCAAUUCUGUGUGCACGAUGAAGGUUUUCGGAUUGUAAAGUGCUUUCAGCAGGGAAGAAAAAAAUGACAGUACCUGCAGAAGAAGCGACGGCUAAAUACGUG
rnacentral:rRNA from 1 species